ACGAACGCUGGCGGCGUGCUUAACACAUGCAAGUCGAACGGAAAGGCCCUGCUUUUGUGGGGUGCUCGAGUGGCGAACGGGUGAGUAACACGUGAGUAACCUGCCCUUGACUUUGGGAUAACUUCAGGAAACUGGGGCUACUACCGGAUAGGAGCUCCUGCUGCAUGGUGGGGGUUGGAAAGUUUCGGCGGUUGGGGAUGGACUCGCGGCUUAUCAGCUGGUUGGUGGGGUAGUGGCUUACCAAGGCUUUGACGGGUAGCCGGCCUGAGAGGGUGACCGGCCACAUUGGGACUGAGAUACGGCCCAGACUCCUACGGGAGGCAGCAGUGGGGAAUAUUGCACAAUGGGCGGAAGCCUGAUGCAGCAACGCCGCGUGCGGGAUGACGGCCUUCGGGUUGUAAACCGCUUUCGCCUGUGACGAAGCGUGAGUGACGGUAAUGGGUAAAGAAGCACCGGCUAACUACGUG
rnacentral:rRNA from 1 species